rnacentral:rRNA from 1 species
GAGUUUGAUCUUGGCUCAGGAUGAACGCUGUCGGCGUGCCUAAUACAUGCAAGUCGAGCGAACAGACGAGGAGCUUGCUCCUCUGACGUUAGCGGCGGACGGGUGAGUAACACGUGGAUAACCUACCUAUAAGACUGGGAUAACUUCGGGAAACCGGAGCUAAUACCGGAUAAUAUAUUGAACCGCAUGGUUCAAUAGUGAAAGACGGUUUUGCUGUCACUUAUAGAUGGAUCCGCGCCG